CCCUUAGAUGUUCUGGGCCGCACGCGCGCUACACUGUUCGACGCAGCGAGUCUUAACCUUGACCGAAAGGUUUGGGUAAUCUUCAGCAAAGUCGAACGUGAUGGGGAUCGAUCAUUGCAAUUAUUGAUCGUGAACGAGGAAUUCCUAGUAAGUGCAAGUCAUCAGCUUGCGCUGAUUACGUCCCUGCCCUUUGUACACACCGCUCGUCGCUACUACCGAUUGAAUGGUUUAGUGAGAUCUCUGGAUUGACGCUGGCUAGGGGGCGACCCUUGGCCAGACUGUUGAGAAACUGCUCAAACUUGAUCAUUUAGAGGAAGUAAAAGUCGUAACA
rnacentral:rRNA from 1 species